rnacentral:rRNA from 1 species
GACGAACGCUGGCGGCGUGCCUAAUACAUGCAAGUCGAACGCAUUUUCUUUCAACGUGGCUUGCUACCCCGACAGAAAGUGAGUUGCGAACGGGUGAGUAACCCGUGGUUAACCUGCCCAUCAGCGGGGGAUAACACUUGGAAACAGGUGCUAAUACCUCAUAAUUCCAUUUUCCGCAGGGUAGAUGGGUGAAGGGCUCUUUUGCGUCCCUAUUGGAUCGACCUGCGGUGCAUUGGCUGGUUGGGGGGGUAACGGGCUACCAAGGCUGAGAUGCAUAGCCGACCUGAGGGGGGGAACGGCCACACUGGGAAUGAGACACGGCCCAGACUCCUACGGGAGGCAGCAGGAGGGAAUCUUCGGCAAGGGACGCAAGGCUGAACGAGGAACGCCGCGGGAGGGGAGAAGGGUCUCGGAUUGGAAAAAUCGGUUGUUAGAGAAGAAAAAGGAUGAGAGUGGAAAGUUCAUCUCUUGACGGUAGCUAACCAGAAAGCCACGGCUAACUACGUG